GGUUCGAUCAUGGCUCAGAUUGAACGCUGGCGGGAUGCUUUACACAUGCAAGUCGAACGGCAGCACGAAUUUUGUCUGGUGGCGAGGGCGAAUGUGCGAGUAAUGUACCGGAACGUGCCUAGUAAAGUGGGGAUAACUACGCGGAAAGCGUAGCUAAUACCGCAUACGCCCUUCGGGGAAAGCGGGGGGACCUUCUGGGCCCCGCACCAUUGAGCAGCCAACGAUUAUUCGAUUAGCUAGUUGGUGGGGUAACGGCUCACCAAGGCGACGAUCCGUAGCUGGUUUGAGAGGACGACCAGCCACACUGGGACUGAGACACGGCCCAGACUCCUACGGAGGCAGGGAAUUUUGGAUACCGGGGAAACCCUGAUCCAGCCAUCCCGCGUGUGCGAUGAAGCGCCUGGCUAAAAGCAAUUUUUGGCAGGAAAGAAACGGCACGGGAUAAUACCCUGUGCAACUGACGGUACCUGCAGAAUAAGCACCGACUAACUACGUGCCAGCAGCCGCGGUAAUACGUAGGGUGCAAGCGUUAAUCGGAAUUACUGGCGAAGCGUGCAUGGGCGGUUCGGAAAGAAAGAUGUGAACCAGAGCUAACUGGAACUGCAUUUUUAACUACCGAGCUAGAGUGUGUCAGAGGGAGUGGAAUUCCGCGUAGCAGUGAAAUGCGUAGAUAUGUGAGGAACACCGAUGGCGAAGGCAGCCCUGAUAACACUGACGCUCAUGCACGAAAGCGUGGGGAGCAAACAGGAUUAGAUACCCUGGUAGUCCACGCCUCAAAACGAUGUCAAUCAGGUUGUUGGGGCCUUCGGGCCUUGGUAGCGCAGCUAACGCGUGAAGUUGACCGCCUGGGGAGUACGGUCGCAAGAUUAAAACUCAAAGGAAUUGACGGGGACUCGCACAAGCGGUGGAUGAUGUGGAUUAAUUCGAUGCAACGCGAAAACCUUACCUACCCUUGACAUGUCUGGAAUCCCGAAGAGAUUUGGGAGUGCUCGCAAGAGAAAUCGGAACACAGGUGCUGCAUGGCUGUCGUCAGCUCGUGUCGUGAGAUGUUGGGUUAAGUCCCGCAACGAGCGCAACCUUGUCAUUGGUUGCUACGAAAGGGCACUCUAAUGAGACUGCCGCCGGUGACAAACCGGAGGAAGGUGGGGAUGACGUCAAGUCUUGGGCGGCCCUUAUGGGUAGGGCUUCACACGUCAUACAAUGGUCGGGACAGAGGGUCGCCAACCCGGGCGAGGGGAGCCAAUCCCAGAAACCCGAUCGUAGUCCGGAUCGCAGUCUGCAACUCGACUGCGUGAAGUCGGAAUCGCUAGUAAUCGCGGAUCAGCAUGUCGCGGUGAAUACGUUCCUGGUCUUGUACACACCGCCCGUCACACCAUGGGAGUGGGUUUUACCAGAAGUAGUUAGCCCAACGUAUGAGGGCGAUUACCGUAGGAUUCAUGACUGGGGUGAAGUCGCACAAGGUAG
rnacentral:rRNA from 1 species